rnacentral:misc_RNA from 1 species
GAUGAAGAACGCAGCGAAAUGCGAAAAGUAGUGUGAAUUGCAGAAUUCAGUGAAUCAUCGAAUCUUUGAACGCACAUUGCGCCCUUUGGUAUUCCUUAGGGCAUGCCUGUUCGAGCGUCAUUUAAACCUUCAAGCUCAGCUUGGUGUUGGGUGACUGUCCGCUUCACCGCGGACUCGCCUCAAAAUUAUUGGCGGCCGGUACAUUGGCUUCGAGCGCAGCAGAAACGCGAACUCGGGCCCGUCGUAUUGGCUCCCAGAAGCUAUCUUCACAAUUUUGACCUCGGAUCAGGUAGGGAUACCCGCUGAACUUAAGCAUAUCAAUAAGCGGAGGA